UUCUGGAGCAUCACAUUUGUGGGGUCAAUUAAACGCUCAAAAUGGCCAGAAAAAGAGAACUUUCAUCUGAAACUCGACAGUCUAUUCUUGUUCUUAGAAAUGAAGGCUAUUCCAUGCAAGAAAUUGCUAAGAAAUUGAAGAUUUCCUACAACGGUGUGUACUUCUCCCUUCAGAGGACAGCACAAACAGGCUCUAACCAGAGUAGAAAAAGAAGUGGGAGGCCGCGUUGCACAACUGAGCAAGAAGAUAAGUACAUUACAGUCUCUAGUUUGAGAAACAGACGCCUCACAGGUCCCCAACUGGCAUCUUCAUUAAAUAGUACCCGCAAAACACCAGUGUCAACAUCUACAGUGAAGAGGCGGCUGCGGGAUUCUGGGCUUCAGGGCAGAGUGGCAAAGAAAAUGUGAGGAUCCUAGACUUUUGUUUCACUGGGUUUUUGGGUUUUUGUCUGUCUUUGGGUUUUGGUGGGUGUGCCUUUGUUCACUGCAGGUUGGGCGGAGCCAAUCAGGAGAGAUCGCUGGCAGCUGUGGCUCAUCAGCUGUGCCCAGCUUAAAUACUGGCGUCUCACAGAAGACCGACGCCAGAGGAUUGUGAUACCUACCACGGGUUCUCCUCCUCGGCUCCAGCACUCGGCACACCUCCAAGCUCUCCAGCGUUUUGUCACCCACGGGAUUUCACUACCACGGACACCUUCACAGGGAGACCCUUCACGAGAGCACCCCCCCACGAGGACUGAACCCUGAGCACCGGACCCCUGCGCACCACCCCGGUUUCCCUCGUCACGGCUCCCUCUCUGCACCGGGAAACCCCCCACGGACCAAGGCACUCUCAGGCACCGUCUCUUUGUGCACCACCCUCGGGACCCCCCUUCCUCGGAUCACAACCCCAAAGAACUUCACCCCACCACCUUCCUUAAAUAAAUCCUGUUUCCUUUAACCCUU